CGUCUACCCUUCUCAGAAGCAGAAAUCCUCAUUUGCCAAAGUGUAGAUAGUAUAAGGGGAGAAAACCUAUUCCAUGACUGAAGAAUUUUCCAAUGCAAAAAUGAAACUUUUUUUUUUUAUUUGAAGAUAAAACCCAAAAAUGAAGCACAAUACACAUAGUUCCCAGGACUGGUAGAAGUUAUAGCACUGCUCAGAUGUCUGGAUAAUAACCUGGAUUAUCCAUUCAUGCCACCUAAUCCAAGAUUUAUAGAGCUGAUGUCUUAACAUUGUGAUUCAUUUUAGGUAUCAGACUGAGAUAUAGUUAGUGCUACCUUGUUUUAUUAACAAUGAAUACCUAUUUACAGAACUUUAAUGGCCAGAAGUAAACAUUUAAAAUUUCUCUGCCAAGCAACCAAGGACAUAUUUAUUCUUCAGCCCCUUCUCACUUGAAGAACCAAUAAAAGCAAUAACAUUUUUUGAAAAUGUAUAUUAAACUUCAGACCCUCUGAGCUUUAGCUAGAUCUUUCAGAAAGAGUCUUAAUCUGGGAUCCCUGGGUGGCGCAGCGGUUUGGCGCCUGCCUUUGGCCCAGGGUACGAUCCUGGAGACCCGGGAUCGAAUCCCACGUCGGGCUCCCGGUGCAUGGAGCCUGCUUCUCCUUCUGCCUAUGUCUCUGUCUCUCUCUCUCUCUCUCUCUCUCUGUGUGACUAUCAUAAAUAAAUAAAAAUUUUUAAAAAAGAGUCUUAAUCUGUGUAUGGAUCCAAACUAUGAGACACUAUUACAGGCACCCUCAGAUGACAUGGUAAAGUGCAUAAUUGUCUCUGGAAUGCCCAGUCUCUCCUUCCAAGUCCAUUAACCCUACCAGGAUACUCUGGUUCCUUUCUGUCUAGGUUGUCAGGCUGCCCUGUUUCUCUUGAUCACACUAAAAGGUUAUUUUGAGGUAAAAUCUCUGGAACUCUCUCCCUCUCAUUCCUUUUCCCCAUGCUAACUUAGAUUCAUCUCACAGGUGUCAUUUGAAACAUCACUGCUUCUAGAAAGCCUUUUCCUAAGGUCUCAUAGCAAUUUCACUUUUCACAUAUUGAGUAAAUAACUUGUGUAACUAGAUUUCUCUGUCUGUCUUCGUCACUAGAGAACAAGCUUCAUGGGUCAGAGACCUUGACCAUCAUCCUUAUCAUUGGUAUAUAAGCCUAACAUAAUGCCUAGCAUGGAGUCAAUAAAUAUUUCAGGAGUGAUUGGAUGGGUAGCUGAAUCACUAAGCCAUCUAUGCUUUCUUUCUCAAAGAGAUCUUCAUUUUUUUUUCUAGAAAAAAAAUUUUUUGAGAGAGAGAGCAUGUGAGGGCGAUGGGGAAGAAGAGAGGGAUGGGAAAGAGAGAGAGAGAGAGAGAGAGAGAGAAUCUUAAGCAGGCUCCAUACUCAACAUGCUGAGCCCAAAGUGGGGCUUGAUCUCACAACCCUGAGAUCCAAAAUCAAGAGUUGAACACUUCACCAACUGAGACACCCAGGUGCCUCUCAAAAAUAUAUUCAUUUUACAAAGGAAUCAUGGGACACCUGAGUGGCUCACCAGUUGGGCAUCUGCCUUUGGCUCAGGGCCUGAUCCCGGAUUGGGCUCCUUGCAUGGAGCCUGCUUCUCCUCCCUCUGCCUAUGUCUCUGCCUCUCUAUGUGUCUCUCAUGAAUAAAUAAAUAAAAUCUUUAAAAUCAAUCAAUCAAUCAAUAAAUAGGAAUCAUUUGGGGCACCUGGGUGGUUCAGUGGUUGAGCAUCUGCCUUUGGCUCAGGUCAUGAUUCCAGAGUCCUGAGAUCAAGUCCCAUAUCACGCUCCCCACAGGAAGUCUGCUUCUGCCCAUGUCUCUGCCUCUCCCUCUGUCUCUUAUGAAUAAAUAAAUAAAAUCUUUUAAAAAAAUUAAAAAAUAAAAGGAAUCAUUUGUCAGGUAUUUAUAAGUUUUUACUACCCUGGAUCUAUUUAUCCUUUUUCAGGGAUCAAUAUCAUUUUUCUUCAGAGCAACACCCCACUCCUUACCCCAAUCCAGGAGUAGCUUAUCCUAAUAUCACAUCUCUCUGGCCACAGUGAUUAGUUCUAGAUAUGGCAAAUGACUAAAGUUAAACCAGUCAGAGCCAAUGAGGCAUAAUUCUGACUUUAUUGGAACUGCUGAAAAAGAGGCACACUUUCUUUCCACUGAGGUUGCUGAAAAGUGGGAUAUGGGCUUGAAGCAACAGGCAGCUUUCUUGCCCCUAUGACAGGAGAGAGGCUCUUAAGAAUGAAGCCACAUAUGAAAGCAGUGUCAUAAGCCUGAAUUCUGAUGACAUUAUUUAAAUCCUUAGAUCCAGGCAGGAUCUUUUGAGCUAUUUGAGCCAAUUUAUGUUCUUUGACACAAGUGUCAUCUGAGCUGUAUUCUGUGGUCACAAUCUCUUGACAAAGUGAAUUCAUUAUAAAUAAUUGCAGUUUAUUUAUUAUUUGUAAUGUGUUACCAUAGCAUGAAUAACUUGAGAACCAUUUAGACCAAAAUUUAUAAAAGCAGUUUUUGAUAAGUCUUGUUCAUUUUGUCAAAUAUGCUAUUAUAAACAUAACAAACUAUUUUAAAUCCAUGUUUGCUUUAUUAAAAUAUAACAACUUCUAUUUUAUAUACCACUGAUUCUGUUACUACCAGAUUAUAAAGGCCAAUUGGCUUGCAACAACACAAACGGAAUGCCUCUGACUUCUACAGCUAUUACACAUGAUGAAUGUUGAUUUGGAGAAUUUGCUUCAAUUUACACCAUACAUAUAUAUCACUCAAGGUGAAGUAUUUUAGAAGCUUCUUAUGAAUCCUAGGCAAUUCAUAUUAUUUUCAUUGUAUGAAAGAAAUACAUAUGUAUUUGUUUAUGAAUUGCUGCAAUAAAGAAGAAAUACUGAAAUUACCAUUCACUGAUAACUAAAAUUCCUUAUUUUGGAAUUAACUAUCAAAUCAAUGAGGGCUUACUCAUAUUUUAAUAUCAACAACAAAUGUAAUGGCCCCCUCCUGCUAAUUUAGCAAAAUUCUAAAAUAAUUUUUUUUUAAAGCUGCAGUCUAUCAUUUCUUUGUGACUCUUCUGUGGAAGAAAUAUAAGCAAAGGAAAAUAUUGGGUAUGUUAAUUUAUUUUCCUAACACAACAAUCCCUAAUUCAACUGUCCUUCCCUCCAGUGUGCCAUACCAAUUAUUCUACUUAGGAAAUUUUCUAACAUGAGAAAACAUCUUCUCAUAUGCCUACAAUGGGUUUAGCAGAUCAUUUUCUCAAAUCUAUUUAUCUUAUUUGGAUUCAAGAAUGCAUACUCAAUAAGGAAUACGCUUCAACAGCUUUUGAUUUGACAAUCUAUCUUUAUAAAGUAUUUCUUCUGAUUGUCUAGCAGUUCUAGGGACGCCGGGGUGGCUCAGCAGUUGAGCCUCAGACCGUGAUCCCGUGGUCCAGGGAUCAGGUGGGAAACCUGCUUCUCCCUCUGCCUAUGUCUCUGCCUCUCUCUCUCUCUCUGUAUCUCAUAAAUGAAUAAAUAAAUAAAAUCUUUUUUAAAAAAAUAAAUAAAUAAAUAAAUAAAUAAAUAAAAUAAAUAAAAUCUUUUUUUCAAGCAAGCAAGAAAGCAAGCAGUUCUAAACUUUGAGGCCCUGAUACAAAUGGUUCAUCUUUGGUCUUAUCAGCCAUCCUGGUGUCCUAGCUAAAUGGACUAAUAAAUUCCUUAUUCUAAUUAAACUGUACUGAAGUUUGAACUAAGUUUCUAUUACUUAAAACCUAGCACUCUCUAAUGAUAAUUGUUAUAUUUUUAGAAAUCAUACGUUUACUUAAAAUUUACUCCUGGGGUUUAUUAGGAAGACUUGCAAAUAACUAAUAUGUAAUGGUGUGAGUUGCUAUUUCCAAAGCAAGCUAAAAAUGCCUUACUUCUAUUAGAAUAGGAGAGAAUAAGUUUAAACAUUUUGCACUUAUAUAUAAUGCAUAGACUAAUUCAUUUGAACCAUCAGGGUACCAUCCAGGGUGCCUAAAAAUCUGGAAAUCAUGAAAAGUCAUUAGAUAUCUGCAUUAAUUAACACAGCACAGGUAAUUUCAUACACAAAUAAUUCUGCUCUUCCCGAAUCCACAUGUGACUAAAACUAGCACAUAGCAAGAUCUCUGCAGAAAUUCACAUGGAUUAAAAAAUUCUGGGUCAUCUGAAUCCAGAAGAGAUAACUAGAAAUACUUCAUUUUCAUACUUUAAAGACAUAUAUAACUUUAUUGAGGGUUACAGAGAAAAUUCUUUA
rnacentral:lncRNA from 1 species